rnacentral:sRNA from 1 species
AUGUACCCACGUACACUCCGGUUCCUCCGCGCCGCCCGCACCCACCUGACGGCUGCUCGCGACGUUUUGUUAGCC